GACGAACGCUGGCGGCGUGCUUAACACAUGCAAGUCGAACGCUGAAGCUCAGCUUUUGUUGGGCGGAUGAGUGGCGAACGGGUGAGUAACACGUGAGUAACCUGCCCCCUUCUUUGGGAUAACGCCCGGAAACGGGUGCUAAUACUGGAUAUUCACUGGUCUUCGCCUGGGGGCUGGUGGAAAGGGCGUUUCUGGUGGGGGAUGGCCUCGCGGCCUAUCAGCUUGUUGGUGGGGUGAUGGCGAACCAAGGCGUUGACGGGUAGCCGGGCUGAGAGGGCGACCGGGCACAGUGAGACGGUCCAGCCGCCCAGACUCCGACGCGGGGGAGCAUGUGGGACUAUGGCCCAAUGGGUGCCAGCGCGAUGCAGCGUCGCUGCGUGAGGUCUGGGGGCCGUCGGGUUGUGAACCUCUUUCGCUCAAGGUCUGGCCGCAACAAUGGUUGUGGUGACGGUACUGGGUAAAGAAGCGCCGGCUAACUACGUG
rnacentral:rRNA from 1 species